rnacentral:tRNA from 1 species
GCCACAGUGGUGGAACUGGUAGACACGUCAGACUCAAAAUCUGGUGGUAGCGAUACCGUGUCGGUUCGAGUCCGACCUGUGGCACCA